rnacentral:siRNA from 1 species
UGAAAAUUAUACGGAUGCAUC